rnacentral:lncRNA from 1 species
UGUUUUUGUACUGGAGCUGCAAAAAAAGAUUAGCCUGUACACAAAAGAUGCUCCUCCAGUUAUCACUUAGUGAUGUGUAAAAUUAUAUACAACUGUUCAAUCUACAAUAGUGAUUUUCCUCUAUACAACACCAAUUAUUUAAAUUUUACAUUAUUUACAAACAAAAUUGACCAAUCAGAGCUGAGCAGGUGAAAUUGUUAAAUUCUGUGUAGAAAAAUAUAUCUGUAAUUCAUGCCAUCUAUUAGAAUUUAUUUGGUGUGGAACUUUUGCUUGCUUUAAAAAUAGCACGUGUACAUUCUUCGAGCUUCUCAUUUACAAAAAGUAUUUUGCGGUGAAAUAUAUCUUCGUGUUUUGAGUAUUGAAAUCGUGAUUUACGCCUUAAAUAUAGGCCAAUGUACAAACAGUUAAACGUAUACGGGUGGUUUCUUGCUGUCCGUAUAACUGGAUGAAUUAUGGUUACCAUAAACAAAAUCACUGUCAUCUGUGUAAAUGGGAGAACUCCCACUAUCUAUACAAAUGGAAGAACUGUGAUUGGCAGUUUCUUCAACUGGAAUUUUAACGGGAUAAGCUUGGCCACCGUCAUCAAAGAACCUCCGGAACGUGAAUUCAAAAAAUGCAUGUUCGGGAUGUGUCGUGUUGCUGAAAUCGUCGUCAUUCUUCUCUUCGUCACUCGAAUCGCUACUCCUGAGUUUGCCUG